UACGUAGGGGGCAAGCGUUGUCCGGAAUCAUUGGGCGUAAAGCGCGCGUAGGCGGCCCGGUAAGUCCGCUGUAAAAGUCCAGGGCUCAACCCUGGAAAGCCGGUGGAUACUGUCGGGCUAGAGUCCGGAAGAGGCGAGUGGAAUUCCUGGUGUAGCGGUGGAAUGCGCAGAUAUCAGGAGGAACACCGGUGGCGAAGGCGCACACCUGGCCCGAUACUGACGCUGAGGCGCGAAAGCUAGGGGAGCAAACGGG
rnacentral:rRNA from 1 species